rnacentral:rRNA from 1 species
UACGUAGGGGGCGAGCGUUGUCCGGAGUUACUGGGCGUAAAGGGCAUGCAGGCGGUCCGACGCGUUUUGGGUGACAGCGGGUGGCUUCACUACCCGAGCAUGCGAAAGACGGUUGGACUUGAGGACUCGAGAGGGACACGGAAUUCCGGGUGGAGUGGUGAAAUGCGUAGAGAUCCGGAGGAACACCGAAGGCGAAGGCAGUGUCCUGGCGAGUGACUGACGCUGAGGUGCGAAAGCCAGGGGAGCGAACGGG